CAACCACUAUCCGCCCUGCCGCC
rnacentral:miRNA from 1 species